rnacentral:misc_RNA from 1 species
GUAUUUCAUUGCGUUAAACGCGACAUACAUUCCAUAAGACUUUGUUACAGUGUGUGUGUAAAUACAUAGAACCACGGCAGGGGGCCAGAGCCCCCAGGCUGCAGAACUACAGAGGGUGCACAGGUGUGAAUGGAUGUGCAAACAGAGCGUGCACAUGUCCCCGUUUGAGGACCAGCAACAACUCGUGUUGACAAUUCGGUAAUGAUCCUUCCGCAGGUUCACCUACGGAAA